rnacentral:rRNA from 1 species
UACGGAAGGCAGCAGUGGGGAAUAUUGCACAAUGGGCGCAAGCCUGAUGCAGCCAUGCCGCGUGUAUGAAGAAGGCCUUCGGGUUGUAAAGUACUUUCAGCGGGGAGGAAGGCGAUGCGGUUAAUAACCGCGUCGAUUGACGUUACCCGCAGAGGAAGCACCGGCUAACUCCGUGCCAGCAGCCGCGGUAAUACGGAGGGUGCAAGCGUUAAUCGGAAUUACUGGGCGUAAAGCGCACGCAGGCGGUCUGUUAAGUCAGAUGUGAAAUCCCCGGGCUUAACCUGGGAACUGCAUUUUGAAACUGGCAGGCUUGAGUCUCGUAGAGGGGGUAGAAUUCCAGGUGUAGCGGUGAAAUGCGUAGAGAUCUGGAGGAAUACCGGUGGCGAAGGCGGCCCCUGGGACGAAGACUGACGCUCAGGGUGCGAAAGCGUGGGGAGCGAAACAGGAUUAGAUACC